ensembl:lncRNA
AUUUGAUCCAGGCUCCCCGCCUGCGCUACCGGUUCACAGGCCCGGGGCAGCUCCACCCACCCCGACCCUCACCUCCACCUUCACGAAAGGGGCGCAUCUGAGCUGUGUCGCCUGGACACCUGCACUGGUCAGACCCGGGGAUGCUGACCAGGAGAGGCCCCCUGGGAGCCUCAAAGAGGCCACGGCCCGAGGGUGGAAGUGGAAGGCAGCUCUGAGCCGCUGAGGGCACCAGAAACAGAGGCACAGAGGAUGCCCCCAGCCCAGGCAGGUGUCUCCAGGGCCUUGGGCUUGCGCUGAAGGAGAAGGACGAGAGAACCGGACGGGCUUCAGGCAGAGAGCUGCGUCUGGGGGCGGGGGUGGCUUGCAGCUGCCUGUUUGCCUCCCCGAGGAGAA